GACGACGGGAUACGGGGUUGUGAGAGCAAGGAGCCCGGAGAUGGAUUCUGAGACAAGGAAUCCCAGGCCCUACGGGGGUGCAGCAGGCGCGAACACUUUACAAUGCGGGAAACCGCGAUAAGGGAACCCCGAGUGCCAGUACUAAGUGCUGGCUGUCUAGAUGAAUAGAUAUCAUUUAAUAGCAAGGGCCGGGCAAGACCGGUGCCAGCCGCCGCGGUAACACCGGCGGCCCAGGUGGUAACCGAUAUUAUUGGGUCUAAAGGGUCCGUAGCCUGUUUAAUAAGUCCUUUGGGAAAUCUGGCAGCUUAACUGUCAGGCUGCUAAAGGAUACUGUUAAACUUGGGACCGGUAGACGUAGGGGGUACUCCAGGGGUAGGAGUGAAAUCUUGUAAUCCCUGGGGGACCAUCUGUGGCGAAGGCGCCCUACGAGAACGGGUCCGACGGUGAGGGACGAAAGCUAGGGGAGCAAACCGGAUUAGAUACCCGGGUAGUCCUAGCUGUAAACGAUGCUCGCUAGGUGUCAGGCACGGUGCGUCCGUGUCUGGUGCCGCAGGGAAGCCGUUAAGCGGCCUCCUGGGGAGUACGGUCGCAAGGCUGAAACUAAAGGAA
rnacentral:rRNA from 1 species